AAAGUGCUCCCAGGUCGGUGUCCCUACCCCAGCGGAGAACUCGCUCUGAUCCUCCGCGUGUGGCUGACCCAGGUUCUCCAGCAGGGAGCGAGCAACAGUGAGCCCCGCAAGGCUGGGCACGCUCUGGAGAGUUGGGGUCUUUUAAAGUCAUCUCCUGCCUCCCCUGAAGAGCUGCUCUGCUCUGCUUUCCAUAUCCCAGCUUGGGUGAGCACUGCUCCAGCACACAAGCUAGCGCACCAGGAAUGUCAGUUAAUCUCGGCUAACUCACCAGAAACACGCAGUUCCCAGAAGAGAGGCAGCUACAUUUCUUCUGUAAGCCCUGCCGCCCGAAGACGUCUGCCCCGAGCACCCUUCCUACGGUGACAAGGCUGCCCGUCCUCCUCCUCUCGGUGUGCUACGGGCUGUGAUUCAUUCUGCUCCUGAGUCAUGUGUGAAGGCUAGUCCAACAGGUGAGGUUUGCUCCGGUCCCU